AUUGAACGCUGGCGGCAUGCUUUACACAUGCAAGUCGAACGGUAACAGGGAGCUUGCUCCGCUGACGAGUGGCGAACGGGUGAGUAAUGCGUCGGAACGUGCCGAGUAGUGGGGGAUAACGCAGCGAAAGUUGUGCUAAUACCGCAUACGUACUGAGGUAGAAAGUGGGGGACCUUCGGGCCUCACGCUAUUCGAGCGGCCGACGUCUGAUUAGCUAGUAGGUGAGGUAAAGGCUCACCUAGGCGACGAUCAGUAGCGGGUCUGAGAGGAUGAUCCGCCACACUGGGACUGAGACACGGUCCAGACUCCUACGGGAGGCAGCAGUGGGGAAUAUUGGACAAUGGGCGAAAGCCUGAUCCAGCCAUGCCGCGUGUGUGAAGAGGGUCUUCGGAUUGUAAAGCACUUUAAGUUGGGAGGAAGGGUAUUCACCUAAUACGUGAGUAUUUUGACGUUACCGACAGAACAAGCACCGGCUAACUUCGUGCCAGCCGCCGCAGUAAGAC
rnacentral:rRNA from 1 species